UUCCCCCUGUACCUUCAGCUGGAUGGGCAUGUCGACUGACGAGAACCUGAUCGACGCCCUCCUGCUCAACGCGUCCAGGAUCGGCCACGGCUACGCCAUCACCAAGCACCGCGGGCCAAGGCGCUCGCCAGGGAGAAGACGUACCCAUCGAAGUGUGUCCAAUAUCAAACCAGGUGCUGAAACUGGUGGACGACCUGCGGAACCACCCGCCGCGGCCUGAUGGCAGAAGGGUUCCCUGUAGUGGUGUCAUGCGACGGCCUGUCUGCCUGGGGAGCUACAGGGCUCUCCCAUGACUUCUACGAGGCCUUCAUGGCACUCGGAGGCGCCAAGGCUGAUCUCAGGUUUCUCAAGCAGUUGGCUCUAACUCUAUCAAAUACAGCAGCCUGGACGCCAACGCGACGUCUCAGCUGAGGGACAUGUGGCAGGAGAAGUGGGAUGACUGGGUCACGUCCUUUGACCUUUCACCUCGCCUGACCCUCGCCUCCUCCUCGACGCUCGCCACUCCGACCUCGGCCACGGUUCCUUCGACCCCAGCGGCCACGGGGGAAGUCGAGGCCAAUAUCAUUUAAAGAGGAAAUUGGACAUUAAUUUCAGAUUGCUUAGUCGCUCCUGGUUUUCAGUUUAAAAGUAUUGGAUGACUUACGAGGUAACUGGUUUCACUUGGUAAUAUCCGACUCGAAAGUUUGUGAAACGAAAGAUUGCGAUUUGUUUCUUUUCAUGAAACAAAUAGAAACCAUAGUAACACCGGGAUAUCGAUGGGUCAUGAUGUGCAAGGAGGGUUUCAUCAAUGUAAACAUACUCUAGAAAUAAUUAUAUAUGAACCUGUUGUUGUGCACAUUAUUUCUGAGCCAAACAAAUGGUUAAAUUUGA